CAGAAGCGGAGCCAGACUUGAGGAAGAAGGGGACAGGACUUCCGCUCUGGCACCUGCAGACUUCUGAGAGCUUCCCGGCAGUGGAUUGUAAUUGAGCUUUCUCCGAUCUUUCCCUGCUCGGAGCUCUCCCAGCCUGCGAACCAGAGGCCCUGGGUCCCAACGAUUCAUUAACUUGCCUGCAGCCUUUGGGGCUCGCCAGCAGGGAGUAUGGCUCUAUCACCUCCAUGUCCAGAGCAGGAAUUCCAGCAGGAAGAUCGUGACCUCCAACAAGUCUUACCGGAAGACCCAGGUGGAUCUGGACCUCUGGCCCUGACCUGGCUCGUCAAAGCGUCCAGCUGGAUGACCAAGCGGCCCAGAGUGUGGGGCGGGGGGUUGGUGAUGAUCAGAUCACACGAGAAGAGCUGGGGUAAUAAGCAG